rnacentral:rRNA from 1 species
GUGCCAGCAGCCGCGGUAAUACGUAGGUGGCAAGCGUUGUCCGGAAUUAUUGGGCGUAAAGCGCGCGCAGGCGGUCCUUUAAGUCUGAUGUGAAAGCCCCCGGCUCAACCGGGGAGGGUCAUUGGAAACUGGGGGACUUGAGUGCAGGAGAGGGAAGUGGAAUUCCACGUGUAGCGGUGAAAUGCGUAGAGAUGUGGAGGAACACCAGUGGCGAAGGCGGCUCUCUGGUCUGUAACUGACGCUGAGGCGCGAAAGCGUGGGGAGCAAACAGGAUUAGAUACCCUUGUAGUCC